ACAAACUAUCACUACAAGAAAUAUGAAUAUUGGUAGCAGUUCGUGGUAGCACGAAUUGACGAACUGCUACCAAAAGUGUUAAAAUCGAAUCACAACUCUAUUCAAGCUUUAAAUUUGUGCUACGAAAAAAUUUCAUUAAAAGGAAACCGAAAAAUCAGUUUCGUAGCUGGAAUGUCAUUUUGGAGGUAAAAACACUUGGUGAAAUUUCACAUUCGCACCAAAAAAAAUAAGUUAUUUUUUACAAAAGAAAAAAUAUUCAUUCUCUCCAUCUUCUUCUUCUUCAUUGUUCAUUCAGAAUUGAUCUAUCAUUUCAAUCGAAGAAACAUGAUCCAUUGGCCUUGUUCGAAGUCGAAUUAAGGAACCCUAAUCCGUCAAGCCACUGGAUCUCGUUGUCGUAGACUCUUCGUCUUCUUCCCAAAACUCCUCCAUCCACGGCGAAUUGGCUCCUUCGCCUUCCUCCGUCGCUCUUCGCCACCAUCAGUUUUGCCAUCUCUCGCUUCUUCUUCUUAUUCCUUUCGUAUUAUCAAUUUCAAUUGCUCAGGUUUGUAAAAGCUUCCACCUUUCUUCAAUGGUUCCUCCACAGGCUUACGAUAUUCUCACUUAUACUAUCUUAAACUUUUGGGCUUAGGUCACUGAGGAGCAGCUUGAUGGUUUGUUCAUCGGCUUUGGGCAGGUCUAAGUCUUCUUUACAAGUUCAUCUUUGUUUGUGGUGUGUUCUUUAUCAAGACUAGUUUUGGUUGUUUAGGUUGUUGAAUGUUUCACCACAUUCUGGGUCGGGUCUUGCUUUGUCUCCGCCGUUUUCUCCACCGCUUCAUAGAUCCGCCGUGUUCGAGCUCGUGGCCGCCAAUCUAAGGUACGUUUGUCUCCACUGGAGUUUUGACUGUCUUGUACUUGCUCAUUUAUUUGUUUCUUAGUUGGUCUCAGUGAACAUACGUGAUUGAACUUGUAGAACUUAUCUAAUAUUGAGUUGCUGUUUGUAUUGUCUCUUUUUUUUUGUCCAAUCUGAAGUUGUGUGAAGAAAUCUGUGGAGAUUAUGAGGAAGUUCUCAGAGCAGUACGCUCGUUGCUCGGGAACUUACUUAUGUGUUGACAAAGGAGUUACUUCUGUCGUCAUCAAGGUUUGUAAAUUAACCUUAAAGUCUCCAACUUUCUGGUAGAAUUGUGUUGACUCAGCUUUCUGUUCUUUGUUCAAAGAUUAUAUGAUUUGGAGGAGAUUGGUUCUUUCUACUUGUAGAUAAUGACUUGCCAGAAGAUGUUUGGCGUUGUUUUCUUGAUAUAUAUACAGUAGGCAGUAGCUAUUAGAAAUCUUGAUGUGGGAUUUUGUUGAACAGGUGGUGUUUUCAUCAAAAGUUUCUAUCAUUCGAUUGGUUAUGAACUACUUGAAGAAAAACUGAGUUAGUUCAUGUGAAGAUCUUGAAAUCUAGUGCUUAUUAACUAAUGAAGAUGUUGAGUUUCUUCUUGUAAUAGUGAAUGAAUCUGCUGAAAAAAUUGAGUCGGUAUUAAUUAAAAUCUUCAGUUCUAGUGCUUAACUAAACCAAAUGGAUAAGUCUUCUAGUUGUAGAAUAGUGAUUCAGUGAUUCUACAGAAGAGAUUGGUCUAUGCAUGUGAACAUUUCGGCCUCUAGUUCUUAGCUAAUGAAGUGGUUGUUUCUGGGAACGGGGUAUGACUGAGCAUAAGGAUUCGUAUAGUGCACCGCUUUGUCCUUGCAGGUGAUCUUUGGAAUUUUUUUGAAGAUUGAAGAUGAAGCCCCUAGACUUAAUUGUUUUUGUUUAUGUGUAUUUUUGGAUGAUAUAUGAAAUAAUGUAUGUUUUAUAAAUUUAAUGAAAUAUAAAUUUUUAUUUAUAGAUCAAAUUGCCAUGUUUAAAUGAUAAUUAGAGUUUUGUUAUAAAAUAUUUUAUAUAUCAUCGUAUAUUUUAUAUAGUUGUGUUAGAUGUAAAAAAUCAUAAUUUAUUGCAAAAUAAUUGUAUUUUAAUUUAUACUUUUGAGUGUAAAACACUAAAACUAAAGCAUAAAAAUGGAUUUUUAUUAUAUAAUAUUUUAUAUAUAAUAGUUUAGGGGUUUAUAUGUUUAGUGUGAGACUAUUAUAUGGAAUUUGGUGUACUUCAUGUUCCUAAACCCUAAACAUGUUUCUAUACCCUAAACAUUAAUUUUAAAACUUAAUUUUUUUCAUAAUAUAAUUUAAAUCUAAAACUUAAAUUCAAAAUCUAUAGUUUGAUCAUAUUUAAAAUCUAAUCUCAAAUUUAAAAUUUAAACCUCAAACACUAAAUCUUAAAUCUACACCCUAAAUAUAAUACCCUAGACCCCAAACUUAAACCCUACAUACAAAGUCAUACUAAAUAUAAUCUUUUCAAAUAACUACUAAACUAAAACCUAUUCCUUGUAUAAAUCACAACUUUAUUAAUCUUUUUCUUUUCAAAUAUUUAUCUCAAGUUUUAACUUAGCCACAAUUCUAUUUCACAAAUCUCAAACCAUAUACUUUAAACUCAAUCACAACUAUAUAAACUAAUAGUCAACAAUUAUAACAUUAGUUAAUAAAAUUUUAAAACUAAACUUAUAAGUAUUAAUUUAAAAUUUUAAUUUGAUUUCAAACAUCAUAUUUUAAAAUUAUAAACCAAAUUAUCAAAAUAUUUAAAAUAGUACAGCAAAAGAAAAAAACAAAAAGAAAAAAAAUUGGCUAGCUAUUAAAAAAGAAAAGAAAAACUAUGGGCCAAUCAACUCUCAUCACGCGGAUAACCUUCUGCACCGUAGGAUACAAUUAAAUGAAUGGCUGAGAUGUUUUCUUUUCUUUUUUCUCUUAUCUUCACAGAUCUCUUUUCUCUCCAUCUCUCUUCCAUCGACAAAUCUCUCCUCCAUCUUCUAUUUUCAGAUUUCAUCUCCUCUAUCUUUAUUCUUAAUCAUCUCUCUCUCUCUCUCUCUCUCUCUCUCUCUCUCUCUCUCUCUCUCUCUCUCUCUCUACUCCCCUCACUCACGAACAAGAUUCAUCUCACACAGACACGUUUCUGUGUCUCAGUCUCGUAAUCUUUCUCUCACAUACGACACAUCUCAAAAAAGCAGAUUAUUCAAACCAGGCAGGACGACGACGACCGCUGGUUCUGUCUCUCUCUCUCUCUCUGUCAGUUUAAAUCUGAUUUUAUUUGUUUUGUUUGUAGGGUCGAUUCAACACAUGAGAGGUUGGAGAAAAUGAUUGUACAUCCGCUCAUCACAACCACCACACCAUCGCAUCUCAGAUCCAUUUUCGUCGUUUAAGAAGGCGUAGGAGGCUGAAGAAACUUGAUGGUGGUGGUCUCGGCAUCAACAGUGGUGGUCUCGGCGUCGACAAUGGUGGCUGAGCGCGGUUGAGGAGACUGAAAAAUCUUUACCGUGGUGAUCGUGGCUGGUGGUCUUGGCGUCAACAAGGAGUGCGCCGGAGAUUGAAGAAGAACGUGGUUUAGUUAGGUUUGGUUAGGGUUAGUUAAUAAACCGGGUUUGGCUGUAAACCGGUUUUUGUAAUAAACCGAUAUCAUCUGUAAACCAAAAUUUUAAUAAUAAAUAAUUUUAUUCUCAAA